AUUGAACGCUGGCGGCAUGCUUUACACAUGCAAGUCGGACGGCAGCACAGAGAAGCUUGCUUCUUGGGUGGCGAGUGGCGAACGGGUGAGUAACAUAUCGGAACGUACCGAGCAGUGGGGGAUAACUAAUCGAAAGAUUAGCUAAUACCGCAUAUCUUCUGAGGAAGAAAGCAGGGGACCAUUUGGCCUUGCGCUGUUUGAGCGGCCGAUAUCUGAUUAGCUAGUUGGUGGGGUAAAGGCCUACCAAGGCGACGAUCAGUAGCGGGUCUGAGAGGAUGAUCCGCCACACUGGGACUGAGACACGGCCCAGACUCCUACGGGAGGCAGCAGUGGGGAAUUUUGGACAAUGGGCGCAAGCCUGAUCCAGCCAUGCCGCGUGUCUGAAGAAGGCCUUCGGGUUGUAAAGGACUUUUGUCAGGGAAGAAAAGGGCGGGGUUAAUACCCCCUGUCUGAAGACGGACCUGAAGAAUAAGCCCCG
rnacentral:rRNA from 1 species